AUGGAAACUACCAUCUUCAUUCUCUGCUCGCUUCUGUUCAUGUGCUGGCAAAGAGAAAUGAGGAAAUCCUGGUUGUUCCACAGCAUCUAAGGCUUCGUAAAACUAUAAAACUCUACAAAGUUAUAAUAUGCUGUUCCACUGAAGUCACCUAGAAGAGGGCAGAGCCACGAGAUGGGAGGAGCCUGGGCUCUGAUUCUUAAAUGAGUAUGAAGAGCAAAUUCCCUCCCCUCUCCAUAUGCAAAGAAAUGAACUUGUAUAAUGUUAAA